rnacentral:lncRNA from 1 species
AUACAAGUAUUGUAAUAAACUAUUUAUGGUGAUAAGUUUUCUCUCCCAAUAAUAGAGAUUCCGCUUCCAAUAAUACUCUUUCAUGAUGAUAACUUGUUUAAACGAUCUUUUAUUUAAAUGAAUAAACUUUAAUUAGCACCCUUGUUGGUGAGCAUAAUUUUACCUACCUUAUGAUUUUAAAAAUUCCACUAUCCUAUUAUAUGUUUAUUUUUAUUACACCGAAAAAAACUACUGUU